rnacentral:rRNA from 1 species
GACGAACGCUGGCGGCGUGCCUAACACAUGCAAGUCGAGCGGAGAAAGUUCUUCGGAACUUUCUCAGCGGCGGACGGGUGAGUAACACGUGGGUAACCUGCCUUAUAGAGGGGGAUAGCCUUCCGAAAGGAAGAUUAAUACCGCAUAACAUUUUCGUUUCGCAUGAAGUGAAAAUCAAAGGAGCAAUCCGCUAUAAGAUGGACCCGCGGCGCAUUAGCUAGUUGGUGAGGUAAUGGCUCACCAAGGCGACGAUGCGUAGCCGACCUGAGAGGGUGAUCGGCCACAUUGGAACUGAGAUACGGUCCAGACUCCUACGGGAGGCAGCAGUGGGGAAUAUUGCACAAUGGGGGAAACCCUGAUGCAGCAACGCCGCGUGAGUGAUGAAGGCCUUCGGGUUGUAAAGCUCUGUCUUUGGGGACGAUAAUGACGGUACCCAAGGAGGAAGCCACGGCUAACUACGUGCCAGCCGCCGCAGUAAGAC